CAAUCUCUCUAAUUAUUAGGAUAGUUAACAUUAGUUAAUGAGGAUAAUUAGUUAAGCAGCUAUUACUGGGUAGUAGAAAAUAUAGUAAACAUUUGCUUGUCUCUGGAAGUAUAAAUAAAGUGACCAUAUUUAUUAUAUACUAACUAGUGUUCGUUUAAUCGUACUACUACUAACAUCUCGUGAUUGUAGUCGUGAUCUUCCUUUUUCCGUUAUAGUGGAUAAUUUUGUUAUCAAUUUAUUAUUAUUUAUGAUUUUAAAAGAGCAACUACAGUCGCUGUCUGAUAAUAAAAAACUCAUUCAAUUCCUACAAAAUCAAAUGAACGUGACUGAAGAGAAAAGUGUUGAGCUCCAAAAAUUCUGUACGCACUUUUGUUCAAAUAUAAGUGCAAUAUGGAAACGAAGUAUCGCAUGUUAGCACAGUUUAUAAGAAAAAAUUGUGAUUGGUUAGAAUGUGCAAUAAACUGGCCCGAAGGAAUGAUACCUGAAGCUAUCAACACUGUACAGGAAAGGCUCGAGCUUUCGAAUACUGAAGAUGUUGAAAAUGUACCACCCUCAAAUGUACUACAGAAGCCUCGACAUCUACUUUUACACCUCGAAAACCUUUUGAAGAAUUGGGAUCCAGGCAAAAACGAAGACGCAUUGAACAAAUUUACCAAUCGCUUUCGUUAUCCCCGGAUGAAAUGAAAGCUACUACAAUUGCUAGUUUGAGAAACACUGGAAAUGAAGAUGUAGGAGAAAUAAUGAACCAUUUGACAAAUCACCCAGAAGAUCUAGAAAAAGUUAAGGAGUGUUUAAGUACAAGUAAAGAGAAAAGUAGUACACAUUCUCCCGAUAAGGCACUAUUAGUUUCACUUAAAUUAAGUAAGUGGCAGUAUAUAAAGCUAAGAGAAGCAGCAAGUGAAAAUAGGUUUGAUUUAUACCCUUCUUAUUAUAAAAUUAAGCAAGAAAAGAACAAAUGUUAUCUAGGGAAAGACGAGAUAAUUAUUAGUGAAGAAGGAGCUGCUAUUAAAAUGCAAGCAUUACUAAGCUUGGCCGUAUAUAGGCUUUUAGAUGUGAUUACUUCGGAUUUGGACUCGGCAAGAGAGCUACUGCUUCUAAGCAAAUAGGCUUUGAUAGAGCCCCAGGUCAAAGUAAUUAUAAACAAAAGACUGAAACAGAGUUUGAUAAUUCAUCUAUUUUCUUGACCAGUCUAGUUCCUAUAAGGCUUCAGAAAUUUGAUGGAACAGUUGCUUGGUAAAACGACCAACCCUCAUCAACUUUUUAUUGCCGUCCAAUAAUGUUUAAAUUUACAAAAAAAAACGCAGUCAACAGUGGCAAUUAUAAAAGCUAGUAUAACAGAAGAAAUAUAAAGACUUCAGUCAUCAAAAAACAAACAAGUUGAAGUUAAGCAUCACUUGCACAUGACGUUGAUAGACGGCAAAAUAACCUCAUAUUUGUCAGAAACAUUUUUUGCUGCCUGUGAUAUUUGCAAAGCAUAACCGUCAAGGUUUUUUGGAAUCACUUGCAUAUCAAAGAGAAAAUAAUGAAGAAAUAUUCCAGUAUGGAAUGCCACCUUUACAUGCUUGGAUAAGAUGCAUGGACUGCUUACUUCAUAUUGUGCAUUGCAAUGGUGCAUGGAAGGAAUGCGGUUGGUGGAAUGGUGCAGGUGGAAUGCGGUUUACUUAUAGAUGUUGUCAAGCAAGACGUAGGAACAACCAAUGAUGGCAAUACUGCCAGAGGAUUUUUCAGGGAUGCAGAAGGAACAGCCCGCAUAACAGGAAUACAUAAAGAUUGAAUAGAGAGGUUUCACGUGAUUCUUCAGACUGUUGCAUCUGGAGAGCGCGUGGACCUUUCCAAUUUUUCCGAAUUUUGUAGAUAUGCUGCAGAAUUGUAUGUUAAUUUAUAUCCCUGGUAUUAUAUGCCUUCCAGUAUCCAUAAAUUGGCACAUGGCAGUGAUAUACAAUAAUUAAGAACUUUGGUGCCAUUCCUAUAGGUAAACUGUCGGAAGAAGCAGCGGAAGCUCGCAAUAAAGAUUUUCGGAAAUAUA